UAAUCCUUAGCCACUGAAAACAUAACACUCGAUCAUCACUACCCUUAGCUUUUCCCUUCUUCGCGCCACUCAUCACCCCCAAAUCAGAGAAUGGGAUCGCCAUCACCAGUCACCACUCACCACUCACCAUCUCCACCAAUCACUCAUAUUCGUCACUCACCACUCACCACGCCGUCACUCACGCACUCUCAUCCUCCCUCAACUCACACACACGAAAGAGAAGAAAUCAGAAAAGGGGAGCACAGAAAGAAGAAGAGAAGAAGAGAGGAGAAGGGAAGGAAGGAAAGAAACGACGACGCCGCCUAGGGCUCCACCGCUGUCGAGCGCCAGUGAAAGAGAGCUCAAGGAAGAGAGAAAACGCGAUGGAGGAGAGAAGAAGGGGGUUCUCGGUCGCCGCUGAAACUCCACCGCCAUUGCUAGGGCUUGUUGCCUUCGCUGUUCUGCCACCGUCGGGCUGCUGUUCCGCCACCAAGGAGCUCGAAGGGAGUACCCCGUGUCACCAGUUCGAAAGUGUGUAUGAUUUGGAUAGUGAUGAUGAACUGCAAUGGCUAAAUGAGAUGGAGAUGGCCACAAGCAGAACUAGAUCGCUAAUUUGGAAGCUUCACAAAUUAGGGAGAGAGCAGUUGACAGGAUUAAUAAUGUUAUUGGAACUUUCCAUUUCUUCCAGAUACAACGAUUUGAUGCUCAGAAUAUUUUCCAAACACCCAGAUUUGUUCCCUGAAGAGUUUGAGCAUUUUGAUGAUUUCACUAUAGCUUCUUCAUGGGAAAGCUCAUUGCUCCUCAAAGUGCAAGUGGUGUAGUUCUUGAUGCACCAGAGGCUAGCAGGCUGUUGAGUGCUGUUGCGAUUGCUAUGUCAAAUAGUUUGAGAGACUAUGGAUGCUGGUUUCAAUCAUAAUCAUUCCAGUGAAGUUUCUUCUCCAGUUGCUGGGUACCUUCCAGGUUAUAUGGACUAUCAAGUAGGAAUGUGACCACAGAUCCCUGUUGAGAGAAAAUGGGCCCUCGGAUUUUAGGUUCUAGUUGAUAGGUCGCCUGGACUGCUUGACUUCCACUUAGACCUUGUAAGCCUGGAAGCUGCGACUAAGGUGAUGAUUUAUGCUUGGUUGGAAAAAGAAAAUUAUUCAACUGCUAAUUGCUAGUUUGGUUGGUUUAUUGGUUCUGUUUCACUUUGUUCCCCUGUAAAACUGAGUACAUAUCUCCUCCUCUGACUUCUUGCA